GGUCUUGAUUCGGGACUUCGUUCCGAGCCAUGCGCCUGAAAAUUGAUCUAGCUCAGUCAUUUCGAGGAAGUAAAAGUCGUAACAAGGUUUCCGUAGGUGAACCUGCGGAAGGAUCAUUAUCGUCAUUCGAUUCCAUUCGAUACUCCGAACUGUCUUUUAAUUAGGGAGG
rnacentral:rRNA from 1 species